GUGGGGAAUCUUAGACAAUGGUGGCAACCCUGAUCUAGCCAUGCCGCGUGAGUGAUGAAGGCCUUAGGGUUGUAAAGCUCUUUCAGUGGGGAAGAUAAUGACGGUACCCACAGAAGAAGCCCCGGCUAACUCCGUGCCAGCAGCCGCGGUAAUACGGAGGGGGCUAGCGUUGUUCGGAAUUACUGGGCGUAAAGCGCACGUAGGCGGAUCGGACAGUUGGGGGUGAAAUCCCAGGGCUCAACCCUGGAACUGCCUUCAAAACUAUCGGUCUGGAGUCCGAGAGAGGUGAGUGGAAUUCCGAGUGUAGAGGUGAAAUUCGUAGAUAUUCGGAGGAACACCAGUGGCGAAGGCGGCUCACUGGCUCGGUACUGACGCUGAGGUGCGAAAGCGUGGGGAGCAAACAGGAUUAGAAACCCCUGUAGUCC
rnacentral:rRNA from 1 species